rnacentral:misc_RNA from 1 species
UACGGAGGGGGCUAGCGUUGUUCGGAAUUACUGGGCGUAAAGCGCGCGUAGGCGGCCUGGCAAGUCGGGCGUGAAAGCCCGGGGCUCAACCCCGGAACUGCGCCCGAAACUGUGAGGCUCGAGCCCGGGAGAGGGUGGUGGAAUUCCCAGUGUAGAGGUGAAAUUCGUAGAUAUUGGGAAGAACACCGGUGGCGAAGGCGGCCACCUGGACCGGUGCUGACGCUGAGGCGCGAAAGCGUGGGGAGCAAACAGG